CCUACGGGAGGCAGCAGUAGGGAAUCUUGCACAAUGGGCGCAAGCCUGAUGGAGCAAAACCGCGUGAGGGAAGAAGGGUCUCGGCGCGGAAAGCUCUGUUGUUGGAGAAGAACGUGCGUGAGAGUAACUGUUCACGCAGUGACGGUAUCCAACCAGAAAGUCACGGCUAACUACGUGCCAGCAGCCGCGGUAAGACGUAGGUGGCAAGCGUUAACCGGAUUUAUUGGGCGUAAAGCGAGAGCAGGCGGUUGCUUAGGUCUGAUGGUAAAGCGUUCGGCUUAACCGAAGAAGUGCAUCGGAAACCGGGCGACUUGAGUGCAGAAGAGGUCAGUGGAACGCCAUGUGUAGCGGUGGAAUGCGUAGAUAUAUGGAAGAACACCAGUGGCGAAGGCGGCUUUCUGGUCUGCAACUGACGCUGAGGCUCGAAAGCGUGGGUAGCGAACAGGAUUAGAUACCCCAGUAGUC
rnacentral:rRNA from 1 species